rnacentral:misc_RNA from 1 species
AAAAAAAGUGUUUUAAGUUUAAAAUUUCAUUCAAGAAUGAGAAAUCUACAGCUACCAGGGAAUGUAUCAAUGAACCUAUUGAAAUUUCAUAUUUUGUCGUGCAUUAAAAAAUCAGCCUUUGUUAAACUUCAAAUUGAAUAUCAACAAAUUAUACUUCCGCGUACUACGCAUUAAACCGAGAAGUUCGAUAAUGCAGAUUUAAAAUGUAAUCAAAAGAUCAUAUUACUUCGAAGGCAUGCAGUUAUAGCAUGUUACUAUUUAUUGUUUCCCUGCCGUCGAGAAUUUCUUUUAUUUGAACUUCAAAGAUUUUCACCUAUGUGUUACAAUUAUUUAAUAUCUUAUUGAUCAGAAGACUUUAUUUGUCACGGCUAUCUAGUUGCGUUCAAACUGGAAUAUUCAUUUAUCUUUUUACAAAUAGAAUCCAGUUCGUGAUUGUGUGAGUGUGUUUGUAUCGCAGCUGAUAACGAAAAUCGAUUGGAUAAAAAUAUGAAUAAAUACCACAGAUACUUAUGAACAAACUGACCGCUGAUUCGGGAAUGUCCGGAACGCACAAGGGAUUGUAGUUUUUGUGUGCAAUUGAGAUUUUGUGAUUUAUUUGUUUGAAAUAAAGGAAAGUUAGUACUUAACAUGCCGGGGACAUCGGACAGUGUUAAAGUAGCAGUGAGGGUUCGACCCUUUAAUCAGAGAGAAAAGAAUGCCGGGUCUAAGUGUAUUUUAUCAAUGAAGGACAAAUCAACUACAAUAAAGAAUCCUGAUACUGGUGAGACUAAGACAUUUGCCUAUGACCACUCCUACUGGUCACAUGACGGAUACACAGAGACACCUAGCGGCGUUUAUGAACAAGAGUCUCCUUCUAGCCAGUAUACCGACCAGAAAUGUUUGUUUCAAGAUCUUGGACAAGGUGUGUUAGACAACGCCUGGCAGGGUUACAACGCUGCCCUUUUUGCUUACGGGCAAACAGGCUCAGGUAAAAGCUACUCUAUGAUCGGGUAUGGACCGAAUAAAGGUAUUGUUCCAAUCACGUGUGAGGAAUUGUUCAAGGUCAUCGGUACCAAUGAAGAUGGCAAGAAACAGUUACGGGUGUUUUUCAGUAUGCUGGAGAUCUAUAAUGAACAGGUUCGAGACCUACUGUUGAAAGGAAAACCACCACAUGGCGGUCUCAAGAUCAGACAAAACCCAAAACAAGGUUUCUAUGUUGAGGGAUUAAAGCAAGUACCUGUGAGAAGUUACAGUGAGAUAGAGAAAUUGAUGGAAUCUGGCACAUUCAACCGAACCACCGCCUCUACCAACAUGAACGCCACAAGCAGUCGCUCGCACAUGGUCAUAACUAUUCGCUUUGAGCAGGUCAUACAGGGAGACAGUGGGCAGAGUAACACACGUAGCAGUGAUAUAAACCUUGUUGAUCUGGCCGGGUCGGAACGGGCUGAUUCUACAGGGGCCACAGGGGACAGACUUAAAGAAGGGUCCGCUAUAAACCAGAGUCUCUCCACAUUAGGAAAUGUCAUAAGUGCCCUGGCCGAUAUAGCGAUGGGAAAGAAGAAGGUUCUGGUACCUUACAGAGAUUCUGUCCUCACUAAACUAUUACAGUCAGCACUCGGGGGCAACAGUAGAACUAUCAUGAUAGCUGCUUUAAGCCCAGCAGACAUAAACUAUGAUGAGACACUUUCUACAAUGAGAUAUGCAGAUAGAGCAAAGAAGAUACAGAACAAAGCUGUUGUAAAUGAAAGCCCUACUGAUCGUCUCAUCAGAGAGUUGAAGGAGGAGAAUGCACGGCUUAUGGCCAUGCUGAAAAAACAAGGAACUGGGGAUACUACAGAUAUCCAGAGUAUGUUAGCAGACAACCAGAGAAAAAUGGUUGACAUGCAAAUGUCAUGGCAACAACGGUUAGAGCAGGCAAGACAAGAAUGGGAAAAAUCUCACCACAUAGAUGGUAGUGUCAUAGAUAAAGAGUGGAUGAAACAUCCUUACAUAACAAAUGUGAAUGAAGAUCCACAACUCUCUGGGGUUAUCAAACACUGUUUCUCUAAAAAGUGUACAUUUGUAGGACGGUCGGGAUCAGAAGAUGCAAUACAAUUACGAGGUCUUGGCAUUGAGCCAGAGCACAUUGAAGUGAACGUGGAUGGUGACAAAACAUUCAUUAAGCCAUGCAAGGCGACGGCAGCAGUGUUCGUGAAUGGGAUUAAAGUGCAUGAACAAACCCAGCUUAAACAUCAGGAUAGACUAAAGCUUGGAUCCGCCAGUUUGUUCCUGUAUAUAGGAUAUCCUGAAGAACGUGGGAACGACGGUACCACAGACACGUAUGAUUAUAAUUAUUUUAUGCUAGAACUUGCCGAGCAUGCAGGAGUAUCUGUUGACAUAGCAACGCCUCGAGAUACACACCAUACUGAUGACCUGUCUCACAGAGUUCUCUUUCAAGAUUUUGUUGAUCUUUUACCUAAACUUGCCGAAGCCAAUGCCAUUAGUGAAGAACUUAAACGUUAUACAAAAUUUGAAGCAGUUGUUCGAAGCGAGGCUAGCCAUGACCCAAAAGGAACAGCAGCAGGCAAAGAAGUCAUCAUUAAAGUUACAAAUAACCAAACGAAAAAAGUUUGGAUAUGGUCGAUGAACAAGUUUUAUAACCGUAAAGAUUUGAUGGAUGAACUGUACUUAAAGUGGUUGGACGGUUACAAUGUUGUAACGACAAGGGAUAACGAUCCUUUCUGGGAUCCUGUAGAAGAUAUUUUUCUUGGGAGUUGCCAUAUUAUGUUACAAAGUAUUGGUUAUUGUGCGGAGGUAGAUGAACAUUUCACCUUACAUAAUUAUCACGGCAAGGAGGAGGCUGUCAUUCACGUUCAGUUGUUACCCUGUGAUGAGAAAGGUCGUGCCCUUGAGGAUGAUAUUGUAAUGGAACCCAAGGAUCUCCUAAAUAAGACAUUAAACUUCACGUGUGUAAUAUCACAAUGCAUGAGUGUCCGCUGGAUUAGUGAGGAUCACUUACGAGGAGUUGAAUGCAGAUUUACUUUGCCUUUUCAAAAACCGACCAAAACGAAGACUGUUUGGCACAAAGGAUAUGUGGAAUUUGACUUUAGACAAAUUUACAAAUACAAACCUGUGACACAGAAAUUAUUGGACUAUCUCCACAAUAACUCAUUAGUCCUAGAACUGUGGGGGAAACAAGUGAGUGAAGAUGAACAGCUACAUUCAGACGGUAUGCCGCAUGCAGACAUUGAAACUGAGAGAUUAACCAAACAUCAAAAGACAAAAUUAAAAGAGAAAGUGAUAGAAUAUCGAGACGAUGAAUUAAUGAAGAUGAAGCGGAGAUGUUACGUGAGGAAUGUGAGCAGAUCAGGAAGGAAAAUUUCAAGCUGAAACAGACAGUGAUGGUCACUGAAGAAAAACUACGGCUUUUAGAAAUGAGAGGUGGUUUGAAGCGGGUAGGCAAUAAAGACAGGAACAUGGGAGCCAGUAAGACAGCUUCAUCUCAGACGGGAUUGGACGUAGAUUUCGCGAAAGCGUUGCGUGAUUUCUUCCAGGAAAUGAAAGACAUACAGAAUGGG